rnacentral:rRNA from 1 species
GACGAACGCUGGCGGCGUGCCUAAUACAUGCAAGUAGGACGCAGUUGCGAACGGGUGAGUCACGCGUAGGUAACUACCUAUUAGAGGGGGAUAACUAUUGGAAACGAUAGCUAAUACCGCAUACUAGUAGAUUGACCUUCGUUGUAUUAGCUAGUAGGUCGGGUAAUGGCCUACCUAGGCAACGAUACAUAGCCGACCUUAGGGGGUGAUCGGCCACACUGGGACUGAGACACGGCCCCAGCUCCUACGGGAGGCAUCAGUAGGGCAUCUUCGGCAAUGGGGGGAACCCGACCGAGCAACGCCGCGGGAGUGAAGAAGUUUUUCGGAUCGUAAAGCUCUGUUGUUAAGGAAGCGGUACUUAACCAGAAAGGGACGGCUAACUACGUGCCAGCCGCCGCGGUAAUUC